CAGGAUUUAUUGGGUUUAAAGGGUGCGUAGGCGGCAUUAUAAGUCAGCGGUGAAAUUUUGCAGCUUAACUGUAACAGUGCCGUUGAUACUGUAGGGCUAGGAUUUGGUUGCUGUGGGUGGAAUGUGUGGUGUAGCGGUGAAAUGCUUAGAUAUCACACAGAAUAUCGAUUGCGAAGGCAGCUCACAAAGCCAAGAUUGACGCUGAGGCACGAAAGUGUGGGGAUCAAACAGGAUUAGAUACCCUGGUAGUCCACACUGUAAACGAUGAUAACUCGCUGCCGGCGAUACACAGUCGGUGGCCAAGCGAAAGCGAUAAGUUAUCCACCUGGGGAGUACGACCGCAAGGUUGAAACUCAAAGGAAUUGACGGGGGCCCGCACAAGCGGAGGAACAUGUGGUUUAAUUCGAUGAUACGCGAGGAACCUUGCCCGGGCUCGAACGGUGCAUGAAUAUACAAGAGAUUGUAUAGUCCUUCGGGACAUGUAUCGAGGUGCUGCAUGGUUGUCGUCAGCUCGUGCCGUGAGGUGUCGGCUUAAGUGCCAUAACGAGCGCAACCCUUGUCAUUAGUUACCAUCAGGUCAAGCUGGGGACUCUAAUGAGACUGCCACCGUAAGGUGUGAGGAAGGGGGGGAUGACGUCAAAUCAGCACGGCCCUUAUGUCCGGGGCGACACACGUGUUACAAUGGGGGGUACAGAGGGCAGCCAUCCGGCGACGGAGCGCUAAUCUCAAAAACCCUUCUCAGUUCGGAUUGGAGUCUGCAACUCGACUCCAUGAAGUUGGAUUCGCUAGUAAUCGCGCAUCAG
rnacentral:rRNA from 1 species